rnacentral:rRNA from 1 species
GACAGAGGGUGCAAACGUUGUUCGGAAUUACUGGGCAUAAGGCGCACGUAGGUGGUCCACUAAGUCGAGUGUGAAAUCCCCCGGCUCAACCGGGGAAUGGCGCUCGAUACUGGUGGGCUAGAGGUCGGUAGGGGUGAGCGGAACUCCAGGUGGAGCGGUGAAAUGCGUAGAUAUCGAGAGGAACACCUGCGGCGAAGGCGGGUUGCUGGGCCGACACUGACGCUGAUGCGCGAAAGCCAGGGGAGCGAACGGG